CAGCGCCGCCGGAGCAGGGGCGCCCAGCCGCACGCAGCUGCGCCAGGCCGCCGCCGCCGCCGCCGCCGCCGCCGCCACUGCCGGGCUCUCGCCCGCCGCAGGGAGCGCCGCAGGGAGCACCGAGCGCCGUGGACCAGGGGUCUGGGGCAAGGUCCACCUGAAAUGAAGACAGUCUUAUGAACUAUUUUCUUAGAAGGGUAAGUAAGGGAAUUUAUCUGUCGCUCGUUAAAGGCAGAACGAUGAAAAGAAAUUGAGUUUUUAUGAUCUGUUUGGAGAAAUUUUAGUUUCUGUGACUUGCCUUGGAUGGGAGUUACGAACCAAGUAACCAUGGACAGAAAUCCAAAAUCCUUAAAUGGCAGCAUCUCUUACCUAACCUUUGUGUCUAGGGACAUAUGUAUCUACUUGUGGUGCCCAGUCUUGUUCAUCUUAUUUUGAGGCAGUGUCUAGCUUAGUCACCCCGAUUCUGUUUAAAGCUAUGGGGCUCUCCCACCUCAGCCUUUUGAGUAGUUGAGAUUAGUCAUGUGCUGCCUUGUUGUCUACAUUUCUCUUCUCUGUCAUGAAGUCCUAAGCUUUGUGAAUCUGUGUGCCUUUUAAUCUCUAUUGUCUACUUAAUUGAGGGCAACCUGCAAAUAGCUAAUAGGUAUUCCUAUUUCUAUUCUUAAUCUGUUGCAGUCUCUUACCUGCAUAACAGGCAGAUUGGUCCUUUUGGUAAAGAAGAUUUUGCUGUUUAAAACGCCCUCUGAUGGCUUUUUUUUGUAUUUUAGAUUAAAUUCUGCCUUGGCUCACAGAGCUGUAUGUGAACUGGUCCCUGUCUGCCUCUCCAAAAUUCAUCUUAAGAUCUGAGGACAAUGGGUUGUGACUUUGUUACACCACUGAUCAUCUGGGUUGAUUAAGCUGAUCUGGCUGGCAAGUUUUUCCUAAAUUUUGCUGCAUUAAUAAUCGUAUGAUAUCGAUGGGAAUAUAUGGCCUCUCUUGGAGGAGACAAAUGAUUGAGAAGAGAAAUUCAAGCUAUUACACUUUAGAAGAAAUAAACUUAUGGAGGGAAACUGAAACUUCAUGUGGUGUGGAGGUGAGUGAAGCCAGUGGAGUAUGUCUCUGAAUUCAAGGGUCUAUCUAACAGUUUCACAAGUAAGGUAAUUUUUAGUGCUGAGGUCAGGCAAUAGCCACUUGGACCAACAUUUUCUGUAAAUAUGUAGAAUUGAGCCAGAGAAGAAGAUGAGAGUGGGGUCAAUGCAGAGAUCAUAUACUGUAUGUUGUAUAAUAAUAGUAUUGUGUAUUUCCAUUAAGGGGUACAUAAUUUCUGUUAGUAGUCACUGAUGAUUAUUGGUUAGAUCUGCUAAUUAAGUAGGGUUUGCAAGAUGAAGCUUUGAAAAGUUUCUUGCUAAAUAAUUUCAGAAAGAGAAAUUUCUUUGUCAACUCUUUGUUACCCUGAGGUGUACUUUAAGAAAGGAAGUAUAACUGCUUGUUUUUUGUUUGCUUGUUUGUUUUUUUUUUUGAGACAGGGCCUCACUGUGUAGUUCUUACUGGCCUGAAUUCACUGUAUAGUCCAGGUGGGCCUUGAACUCAUGGUGAUCCUCCUGCCUUAGCCUCCUGAAUGCUGAAAUUUCAGGCAUAUGCUACCACACAGUCUCAGUUUUCAAACUAAUGAAUGGUUUUUUAGGAUUCUUACAAGGUGAUCAAUGAAUUAUCUUUAGUACUUUUAAUGAAUUUUUGGAUUUAAAAAAUUUGAUAUUUCAGUCCAUUAUUUUUAUAUUAGCUAGUGGAAGUUUCUUCAUAUAGUUCCUGUAUCCCCUUGAUAUGACCUUAGUAGUCUUUAGUGGUAUCCUUGUUUUUCACCGUUAUGGUAUGGAACUAUAUAUACCCCAAAGUCUCUUGUGUUCAGGGGUGGGGCUUGUGGAAAGUGCUUGGAUUGUGAGGUCAUUGUACUUAUCAGUGGAGUAAUCUAUUAGUAUUCAUAGAUGAAAGUGCUUUUAGGAGGUAGGGGCGAGUUGGUGAAGGUGGGUCACUGGAUGCAGCCUUUGGAGGGUGUAUCUUUUGCCGGGGGUCUUCCCUUUUUUCUACUUUCUGGCUGCCACAGGUAUUGAAUGGCUUUCCUCUGCUGUGCCCUUCCACUGUGCUAUUGAUGUCUUGAGCCAAAUAACCAAGAACCCUCUGAAAUGGUGAGCUAAAACAAAUCUUUCUUUCUUAACUGUGUUGUGGAUGUCAAGAAUUUUGUCUAAACAAUGUGAAGCAGCCUAAUACACUUGAUAUGAUAGACUAUCCUGUUAGGAGCCCUUGAAGCUGAAUACAUGUGCAGGGCUGCAGCAUGAGCAAAUUGAGAACAAAGAGACUUUGCAAAGGGCAAGAUAGGCCACAGUUGAGGAUACCUGGCUCUGACUCCAAUUAAUAAGAUAGAGAUUGUAGCUGCAGGCAUUUCACUCCUGUAAUGAAAGUCAACCUACAGACUUUCUCUUAAGAUAGUUUCCCUAAAUUAAUGUAGUCUGUUACUUGGAAAAGUCCUUUAACCAUGCCAGUCCUGCUCAGGUUUCCUGCAUUUUCCUCCCUAAUCCCUUCCUUGUUUGAAAAGUAAAUAAAUACGCCCAGAGACAAUGUCUUAGCCCUCGGAAUCUUGAACUCUGCAAGAGGAUUUUGAUCCUUCUGGAUCAUACCAUUUGUCUCUUUUAUUUAAGCCUUUGCCAUAUACUUGUUUGGGAGAUUGAGGAUCUUGGCCAGGUCCCCGAUACUAUCCGAGGAUCAUGUUGUAACUGUCCUGAUACAAACUUGAAGUCAACCAUUUUCUUAUAGAACUUUGGUUGUUUAUAGCAGGAGAUAGUAUUUAGAGACCCACAAUCUUGGUUCUGGGGUUAUUCUUUGCUGCAUGGAUCCAGGAAAAUAGUAAUUUUUUCUGUUUUUUAACUUGGGAAAUAGAUAUAGUCCUUGUCUUGUUAAUAAUUGAAGUAGAACAUCAUACAUACUAAAAUAUUUGGAUUUUGGUAUAUUGUAGGCCCUUGUCAUGGAGAUAGGGAAGGAAGGCAUCAAGGAAGGCUUCUUCAAGGCACUUGACCUUGGUUAGGAGGAAUACAGUGAAGGGAAUGAACUCGUUUUGGGAAGAACCUAUUUAGGGCAUAUAUGGGGUAUACUUUUGUUUCUGCAUUUGUAAGCUGAUAAGUGUGACUUCAUUUCCUCAUCUAUAAUUUUAUGAUGUUUAGAAUACAUUUUACUUCUCUUCUGGUCUUUUCUGUCACUAAUAAUACAUAUAUUAUGUAUUACUAAUAAUACAUAAUAAGAUCCCUAGAAGAGAAAUUGUUUAUGUAAUGAGUUUAUGAAUUUUGAGAUUUGGCAUGUUUAUUGCCAAAUGAGGCUAUGAUAAUUUACAACUUUUUACUAACAGUAAGAUAAUGCCUGUCGCUUCAUACCUACUCUAAUGAAAUUUAAAAGUAAAAACUUUUUCAUUUACUUGAUAUGUUGAUUCGAUUCUAUAUCAAAAAACUUAAUUUAAAUAUUCUUAUUUCUUAAAGCACAAAAUUAAUAUGAUGAUGCUUUAAAAAUAUAAAAGUUUAAAAAUAGUUUUAUUAUUUUUUGAACUGAGAAACUUAUUUUGUAACAGAACUUUGUAGUUGUUUACUAUGGAUUAAUAUUUUUCCAAGUUUUGAAAAUAAACUCCAAAUCAAGAUACAUAGAAAUCUUGUUACCCUCUUCACAUUGGUGCAGGAAUAAAAGACUUCCUGAUCUGUUGCCUGCCCCCAUGCCUUUCUUUCUGCUGAUUGUACAUUAUUAUCUCCAUUGUACAUUAUUAUUUACUUUCCUGUGAUUAAUUUUGUGAAUCUGUUCGUAUCAGAAGAAUCUUUAUUUGGACAGUCAGCUAGCCUUUCAAAGACAAAGUGAUAAAGCAUUCUUAAGUAUAUUAAUUUACUUAUUUUUCUUUUUUGGUAUUGAGGAUUGAACUCACAACCUUAUGUGUGCCAGGCGGGCACUUAUACCGCUGAGCUAAAUCCCCAGCUCCUUAAAUGUAUUUGGGAACUUUCUAAUUUUAUCAGGCUUCUCAUAUCUUUGUAUAAGUGUAUUACCAUUUGUAGUGGCCACCUGUCUGUUUCAUAAAAAUGACUGAAUACAUUUAUUUGUGAAAGUAGAACAUUCAUUUUUCUCUUUUAGGUGCUGUCAAAUUUAUUAUUUUAAUGAUACACACUUUCGGAAAUUGUCUUUUAUUUCUGUAUUCUUAAAAUUACCUGUGAUUCUUUUUGUUUUUUUUUUUUUUUUCCCUUUUUAUCGAUACCAGGGAUUGAACUCAUGACUGCCUGCUUCCAAGGCAGGCGCUUAUGCCGCUGAGCUAAAUCUCCAGCCCCUUACCUGUGAUUCUUACAUGUGUUGAUCUAGAUUUUAAAUAGUAUUCAUUUAAAAAUUUCUAUUAUAAAUAUGUGAUUUCAUCAUGUCUCUGUACUUAUAGGUUUCACUUGUAUUUUGAAUGUUUGUGGGAAAAGAAAAGGAAAAGAGUAAAGACAGGAGAGGUCAGUAGUUUUAAAUGUUUUUUUUUCUCCUUAAAUAGAAAGCUGACAUUUAUUUACUUACUUCUUUUUGUAUUCUGCUAUUGAGCAUUGAACUCAGGACCCUACACUUGCCAGGCAGGCACUUGUACCACAGAUCUGUAUCCCCAGCCUAUUAGAAUGCUAACUUAUAUCUGAUACUACUCUUCGAGAUAUGACUGCUAUCUAAACUCCUAGUUUAGUUAGUUUUUCACAGCUAAAGCAGUGAGGAUGUUAAAGUAAAAUUGAGUUUAUUUAUAUAAAACUGUUAGGUUAUCUGAAUCUUUUGAGUUGCUCUGAUCCAUUCUUCAUUUUGAACUUGUCACUUUGAGCUUGGUAUAUUUUAAAAUAUAUAUAUAUUAUUUUUUUCUUCAUUCUUACAUUUUUAGUGUUUUAAAAAUUCACCCUUUUUUUCCUUUGUGAUCUUUUAAAUCUCCAUUGUACAUUAUUAUUUCCUUUCCUGUUGUUAAUUUUGUGAAUCUGUUCGUAUCAGAAGAAUCUCUUUAUUUGGACAGUCAGGUAGCCUUUCAAAGAAAAAGCGAUGACCAGUCUGUAUGUAGUUUAAAAGAUAAACCGUAAGGACAAAGGAUUUCUGCUAGGUUGGAUCCCACACUUCCAGUCUAGAAUGAAUUCUCUUUUGUGGAGGCAAGUAACUGUUUCUUGAAGUUGGCAGGAAAACUCUUGGGAUUCUCAGAGCCGUGUUGUAGCAGGUAUCUGAUUCAACUCCUUAGAAAGCUCUCUCAAAGUUCCCUUCUUUGUCUGGAAAGAGGAGCCCAAACUUAAACCCUGAGGAAGAUUGUAGCCCAGAGCUGAUAAGGGAACAACUGUGAAAGAUUCUUUGAUGAUAGUGUGAAAUAGAGCGAUUCUAAGACAUAAAUCUAAAUUUUGUGCUCCAAAGCAAAUUUUUAGACAGAAUAAAGAAGAGCAUCUUUUAUAAUAGAGACAGACCUGAUCAAUAUUUAUACCUUCAAAGGAGAUGAACGAAGAAAGCUUUUCCCCUCUAUUUUUCUGUUUAUUCUAAAUAGUUCACAAGCAAGCUGACAGGUUUAUGGGAGUGACUAUGUAAGAAAAGGAAGGAGUUCAAGAGUUACUGGUACAUUGUCUUUAUUAAAAAUAAAAUUGAUCUUUGAGUGUUUUAGUUCUGUUUACCUUCAGUGAAAGUAUUACAUAUAAAUACUAAAGUAUCUAUACUAUGAAAUUAUUUUGAAGCAGAUUAAGUGGAGAAAACAAAAGAAAAGGAAAAAAGAAGCUAAAAGUAAAAUAAAAUAGCAAGUUGAGAGAAAAGAUGAAGGCACCAGAGUUAAGAAAAAUAACUUAUAUUGUCUCCUUUUCCAUUUCUGUUCCUCUGUGCUAACUUUUGGGUCACCAGAAGAUAGACCACACAUUGAAUUGUGUGACCAUUGGGCAACUGCAGUGGAUUAACUAAUGGGCAACAUGUAACGCCCAACUGAACUGAAUCAGCAUGGUUCUGGGUAUGGAAGGCCCAGCUGAAGAUUGUUGCCAACAGUUAGGAGAACUGGAGGGGAAGAUGUCAUGCUGUUGAUUCCCUGGGAGAAGCUUGUUGUAUGGUGUUCCUAAGAAUUCGAUUGUUCUCAUCAUUGGAAGAGCUUGUGUCCUUGCUGUUGCUGUGGAUGCUGUGAUUCUUUUUGAGGGAGCUCUAUUCCUUAUAUUUGAGUGUUGCUUGUUGGCUCCAGUGCAGACGCUCAGCCUGGUGGUACAGAUCCUUCCCACUGCUGGCGCAGGCUUUCUAAAUUCCAACACUGAUCAUUGGCCCUUCCCCAUGCAGAUCUUUGAUGGAGAUUUGCAUGAGACUUUGCUGUGAACUCUAGUCCAGGCUUCCAGCUGGACUCGUGGAAGAUAUUGCUGUGGGCUCAAGGUCUUUGGCUUGACUUGUACAGGGCAUUACUGUAAGAUUCAGGCUCUCAACUGGAUUCUUUGAGUCUCUAUUGUGUGGACAGAUUUCCUGCACUCUUCUCCAUUUGACUUUUUGGGUGAAUACCAUAAAAUAAUCCUGUAAAUUAUGUGUUCUGUAUUUUUUUUUUUUGGGGGGGGGUAUGGGGAUGGAGCUUAUGUUCCAUAGUGCGCUUGCAAGGCAGGUGCUAUGCCUCUGAGCUAAAUCUACCCUGCCUAUGUGUCCUGUAUUAAAUCUGUUCCCGUGUAAAGCCUGACUAAAAUAGCAAUAAAUAACUCUGUACCUAAGUUUUUCUAAUUUCUAAAAUAAAAUAGUACAUCACUUGCCACUUAAGGUGGUUGGAUGAACAUAAAAUCUGUCAAUUGUGUGUGAUAAGUACUCCUGUGUGGUAAGUACUCAGUAAAUGUCAGCUGUUACUUUUUGCUUUCACUCUUGUUAUUAACACUUUUAUUUAUCCAUAUAUCCAACAUACGUUUAUUGAACAUCUCUAUUGGGAGUUGGUGAUUAAACAAGAUGAAGACACUGUCUUGAAGAGGCUUUCUGUUUUGUGAACAAGAGAAAUAAAUACUUACAGAUUGUGCUAAGUACUGUAAAGGAAGUAAAUAGAGGAAUGAGAAAGAAAGAGGUCAUUUUAGGUGAGAGAGUGAAAAGACAUUUUUAGAACAUAGUUAUUCAUUUGUGGCCUGAAGAUUGCAGUGGACCCAUUCACAUAUUUAUGAUUGUUAGCUCUUCCUCUUGGAUUGUUCCCUUUAUGAGGAUGUAGUGACCUUUAUUUCUCUUAAUCAAUUUUGGCUUAAAAUUAAUUUUGUCUGUAAAUUGUAUAGCUACCCCUGCUUUUUUCUGGGUUCUUGUUGCAUAGAGUAUUGUUUUCCAUCCUUUGACUUCCUAUCUAUCUAUGAAUUUCUUUUUUAAUUAAAUGUGUUUUUUGUAUGCAGCAUAUUGUUGGAUCUUGCCUCUUAAUCCAUUUUGCCAAAGUGUGUCUUUUGACUCUUGGAUUAAGACCAUUAACAUUGAUGGUUAUAACUGAAAAGUAUUGAUUUAUUCUUGUCAUGUUAUUUUUCCUGUUGUUGGCACUCUGCCCCCUUUUUCCCCCAUCCUCUAAUUGUUUGCCUCUUCUGGUGGAUUCCUUUUGUUGGGGUUCAUGGAGCUAUAGUCUUUACUAUCUCUUUCUGGAAUAUCCUUCAGAACAUUUUGGAGUGCAGGUUUGGAAGUCAUAAAUUUCCUCAGAUAUUCUUUGUCAUGGAAGUAUCUUAUCUCUCCAUCAAUUUUGAAAGAUACUUUUGUGGGGGCAUAUCAGUCUGGGUUGAAAGUUGUUUUCUUUAGAAUUUGGAGUACUUCACUCCAAGCUCUUCUUGACUUGAGAGUUUGUGCUGAGAAGUCAGCUGUAAUUCUGAUGGGCUUUCUUUUAUAGAUGAUUUGUUUCUUUUCCCUAACAACUUUUAGGAUUCUAUUCUUGUGUUGAAUUUCUGGACUAUUGACUACGAUAUGUCUGACUGUAGAUUUUUUUUAUCAUUGCUAAUUGGAGUUUUAUAUGCUUCACUUACUUGUAUGACAAAUUCUUUUUCUCUAACCAGGAAAAUUCUCUGUCAUGAUGUCUGUGAACAAUUUGUAAUGUCAUUUGUGGUAUCUUCUGCUUGUUCAUUGACUCUAGUUAAAUUGUUCUUCUUUGCCUUGACAGCUGGAUCCAUUUCUCAUGGUCCUUUGCUAUUUUUGAGAAAUCUUUCCUUUCCUGGCUGUUAACUGCAAGCCUGUCUUCAAUAUCUGAGAUCCUGUCCUCACAUUGGCAUAAUCUGCUUCGAAUCUUUCAAUGGAGUUUGUUUUCUCCUGGAUACCAGCUUGAAUUUGCUUUAUGGAUUCCAUUUCUUUCCUAUGCUGUGCUUUCAUAAGUUGCUUAAGCUCAUCAAUUUUUUUGUAGUUACUUGAGAGAUUAUUUCUGAUUUUUUUUUUUUCCCAGAGCCUCAUUCAAUUGCUUUGUUAUUACCAUUUCAGAGAGGCCUGAUUGUCCCACCUCAUUGCUCCUGGAUUUGCCUUUGGCAAACUGGAUGUCUGGGAUUGCAUUUUGUUUAAGUGCCUGCCUUCUCAUUUUAUUUUCUCUCGUUUUUAGUUUAAUUCCUGGGUUGAUGCUUCUAUGUUGCCAAUGGUGGGUUGCUUUAUUGGUGGUUUUUAGGACCCUUAGAUGAUGAUUACUUCUCUGAAAUUUCUUACAAAUAGAGCCUGUGUUUGGGUGUUGAGUCUGUUGGAAGAUCUUACGUCUUCAGUAUGUUGGAAAUAAGAAGUUGUUUCUUGUUGGCCUAGUCCCUGGUUCUUUGGCACCAUGCCACCAUACUUUCUAUAACCCUUAGUCAUGGAAUAUCAGGACCAACAGCUGUUCAGAACAAUUAUGUCAAUAGCAUUAAACAUAGCCUAGAAAACAACAGACUGAACUAACCCUUAAUUUGCAAAUUUUUUUUUUUUUUUGGUAGUGGGGAUUGAACUCAUGACCACGCACUUGUAAGGCAGGCGCUUAUGCCACUGAGCUAAAUCCCUGGCCCUAAUUUGUAACUUUUAACAGUAUGAAUUAGAUUUGUGAUUAUGUAAUAAAAUGUAAAACAAACCAGAUAAUUAUAUGCAAUAUAACCGUUUUUAAUAUUUCAAUUUUGCCCUUGAGGGUUCAGAUUUAAAAUGGAUUAAGGAGAAAAUAGAUGGAGAAGGAAAGAGAUUAGAAGUAAGGUUGGAGUACACAGGGGAAUCACACUAACUUGAGGAAACUGGUACAGAAGACUGAAAGAAAAGAGAUGGAAGAGAUAAAAAGAAGAGUAGAGCAGAACCAUACCCACAAAGAGGUUAGGAACCACUUUCACAUUCCUACAAAAGCAAUCAAGGAGAAAGAGGGAAAAAAAAAAAGAAAAAGAGAAAGAAAAACAGUCUACUUUCAGGCUUCUCUGUGGUUUCACUAGUAGACAACCUGUGGAGACAGAGUCCCAAAUUGUGUCGAUUUAUUCCAGCAAACUAGCAGUUGCUUUAUGGUGGAGUAGUAGAUAACCUCAGCAGAUCUGCCCGGGGACCAGACUCAUUGGGCUUGUCACAGUCCAAGCAGUUUCCAUGGGUCCAGGCCCAGCUGGUAGCUACUAGAGGAAGCCAGCAGCAGUUCUAGAUUCUGGGCUUAUCCAGCCUGUCUCCAAAAUGACUCCUGUCUAAUUGCUCUUCCUGCAUGGCAGGACUAAGACCUCCACUCUUAACACCAGGCAGUGCAGUCCUCCACAUCCUCUGCUCCUCUCCAUUGCCAUGUUUCUCUGGGGUUGCCAGUUGUCACCAUGCCUCACCAGAUUUGAACUGCCCCUCUUGAAUAGUGAGUCUCCUCUUAGGGUGAAGGUGCCCUUGGCUAUUGCCUUCUUCCUUGAAGUUUUUCUUUUUACUCCCUAUGGGUUUCAAUUUGCAUUUCAGAUUCUCUCCUUGUCUUCCUCUUGACGCUAUACUCUGGAUGGUGAGUGACUCUCAGGCUGUUUUCUCUGUUGCUUACUGUCUGCCAUCUUCCCAGAAGUCUUUGCAGUGGACCCAUUUAGUCAAGAGCCUGGGGAAAUUCAUUCCAACAAAGGAAAGCAGGGUUUGCAAGGUUUACAGCUUCCACUUUGGAGAAUAGAAUGUGGAAAUAUCUUUUUCACUGGCCAAGGAAAACAAAGAGGAAAAUAGUUAAUGGUCUGAGAUGGCUUCUACCCCCAUGCUUCUAUAUUCCUUAGUACCAUGCUUUAUUUAUCCUGUUACAUGAGGCUUCAGGGAAGAGCACCCCUGUGGACACACUAAGACUAGGCUGACAAGGACUCCACUGCUACCUCUUUCAGUUUGUUCAGGGGAACAGUUAUUUCAUAUUAAUUUAAAAUUUCAUUUCUAAAAAGUCUCUUAAAUCUAACAGUUGUUAUGGUUUACAGUUCUGAAAUACAAUAGUCCUUGUUUUUUGCUUGUGCAAUUCUUAGUUUCUCAUAAUUACAGUGUUGAACUUAAGAAUAGGUUUUCAAACUUUCAUUUAAAGUGUUUUGUGAGAAGCUUCUGAAACUGAAAAACUUAAGAAACACAGUGGAGUUUAGGAAUAGAAUAAGAGGGAAAAAUCAGUAGGACAGAGAAAAGUUAUAAAAAUGAUUGUCUGUCUUUUGAUCAGACAGUUUCUCUUGCCCCAUUUGCAUCAUUUAUCUCUUACAAUUACAGGUAUUUGCUUUUUUGAAAUUUUAUCAGUGAAGUAGUAAAGAAAGAGUAUUCAUCCAGUCUUUUGAAAAAAAUUUGUACAUAGGUUUGUUAAUUUGAAUUUUUUUAUCUUAUGUAAAAUUUUGUGAAAUUUACUUUUGAAACCAGAAUAUUGAACAUAUAUAGUGGAUUUAUUUAUUUUCAUUUAUUGUUUUCCCUUAGUCUUUAGGAAAAGUAUCUCAGGGCUCAAGUAAAAGUCAGAGGAUAAUAAUUUGUUUCUUGCUAAUUUUUUAGUUAAAUUGGAUAUCUUUAUAUGAUAAGAUAGGUGACUGAUAAUUAGAAACUUUUUAACUUUUUCAAUGUCUGGACUGACCUGAGAGAUAGGAACUCUUUUUACGUCUUAACCGUAUCACCCAACUCAUGACCUCAGGAUUAAAUGUUCUUUAAUUGAUGUAUUCUUCUGUGAGAAGUUACUGUAUAUUUUUGUUACACUUAAUUAUUUUAUUUUUUGAUCUCUAUUAAAUAAUGUAGUCCUAAGAAUAGAUAACAAGUUGAAUUAAAACUUUCAGCUUUUAUAGAAUCUUUAGAAGUGUCUUGUGGAAUGCUCAAAAAGCAAGUUAGUGUUUAAAAAAAUGAUAGAUAGUGGAGUUGGAGAUGUCAAUAAUCCAGUACUCGGGGAGACUGAAGCAGGAGAAUUCCAAGUUGGAGCCCAGUUUACUCAACUCAACUAGCUAUUCAUUGAGACCCCGUCUUAAAAAGAAAGAGCUGGGCAUGCUACUCCACAUCUGCAGUCCUGGCAUUCUCACAGGCUGAGGUAGAAAGAUCACAAGUUCAAACCCAGCCUGGGCAAUUUAGCGAGACCCCAUCUCAAAAUAAAAAAAUGAAAAGGGCUGGGAAUGUUGCUCAGUCAGUGCAAAGGCCCCUGACCCAAUUUUUAACUGCCUCCACCCCCUCAUGACGGAUCUCAAUGCAAAGGCCCUAGAUUUAAUGGCCAGUACCACAAGUAAUAAGAGGAGGAAGAGGAAGAUUUCAGUUAGUAUCUAAUCAUUGCAAAUUGGAAGUUUAAAGUUUAAAAAAAAAAUUUGUCAUCAUUAGAUUGGGUAGUUUACUUAGCAGCAGAAAGCAACAGAAGAGGUAUAUUACUUUAAAAUUUAACCAACCUCUAGAGCAGUGAUGAGAACCUUUUUGAGAUGAAUGCCAAACUGCAGCCCAAGACUCAUUGCAAAGUGCCAACACUGCAAGUAAACCUGAAUACUGAGGUUUUAGCUUAAGAAAAUAAAACCCCCCAAAUGGCACCUCAUUCUUCUAUCUUAAAAACAAAUAGCACUCGUGCCAUAAGUGCCACUUCUUCAGGAAAACAUGUUUAUUCUAAUUGGAAAUACUACUAUAUCUUUUUCCAGAUAUCUUUGGUUUAUACAGUUUUUUUUUUUCUUUUUUCUUUUUUGAGCCAGAAUCUCACUGUGCAGUUCAGACUGGCUUUGAACCCGAAGUGGUCCUGCUACUUCAGCCUCCCAAGUAUUGGACUUGUAGCAAUAUGCCACUAUUCCCAGGCCUUCAGUUCAUUUUUGAGGAGUUGUUUAAGAUGUUACUCAUGUGGGGAAGAUUGAUGAAUAUUCGGUUACCACCUUUGCUGAACACUGUCACUGUUGUGCUGCGCUGUGCUUAUUACUAUAUACUAUAUAGUAGUAUAAUGCUCAGUCAGCCUAGGAUGUCCAGAAGCAAGAGGAAAAGCAGUGGUAAUAAUGAAGGGGAUGCUAGGAAGCACAAAGCAAUGUGUGUUUUAUGUAUAUGUCAAGGUUGUGUGAGAAUCACUGUUGGAUUUAGGAAUGAAUCUGAUUUAUAAACGUUCUCCCAGAAUGGAACUUGUUAAUAAAUUGACAACUUACUGUAUUAUCAUUAAAGGACAGCAAUUUUUUAAAGAAUCUUUUUCAAUUCAUGAAAAAAAAAAAAAAAGCAAGCAAGCAAACAAAUGAAAGAUCCCUAGGCUUUUGGUGGUGAAAUGGUAAGAAUAGUCUCCUUGUUUUCCUGUCUCUAAUAUGCAUUUUGGGGGUACUUAGAAUUAGGGCUUUGAGCAUGCUAGGCAAACGCUGUACCAAUGAGCUCCAUCUCUUGCCCUUUUUAAAUUUUAUUUUGAACUGGGCAUAAUGGCAUAUGUCUGUAAUCCCAGCACUUGGGAGGCAGAAGUAGGAGGAUCAAUGUGAGUUCGAGUCCAGCCUGGGCUACCAAGUGAGCUUAAGGGCAGCCUGAACUGCAUAGUAAGACCUUGUCUCAAAAAGACAAAAAACUUUUUAUUUUGCAGCAAGAUCUUGCUAAAUUGCUGAGGUGGCGUUCGAUCUUACACUUCUCCUGCCUCAGCCACCUGAAUAGCUGGAGGCAUAGCAUGUGCCACCCUGCUGGUCUUUUAAAGUACAUUUUGUAUUUUCUUUUGUCUGACAAGUAAAAACACCACCACAUUUCUUUCCAGACUGACCUUAACCUAAAACAGGUGCCAUUAGAAUGUUGUUGUUGUUAUUAUUAUUAUUAUGUAGCAUUAUGAAAUUAUGACGCUGAUUUGUUUCUCUAGCACAGCAUUACUGUUUAAACAACAUUUAGAAAUGUAUUUUCCUGGUUCUAGGAUGGCUCCAUAUGAAUAAACUCUGAAUCUGAUUGCUCCUGUUUUGUCUGAAAUAAAGACAUGUUACGAGGACUGUCAGUCAAGUUAAAGAGAUGUUCAUAUCCAUGAUUCUAUGCUGAAAUUAUGAAGUAGAAGAUCAUCAAACAGAUUUCUGCAAACAUAUAGAUCAGUCUCCCAUCUUUUUUUUUUUUUGUCACGUUAAUGUGUCAGUUCAUAAAUGUGUGAAUUUGGAAUCAGGUCAUUCUGGAGUGAAUUAUAGCUCUGUCAUCUGUACUAUGUGAUUAUGUAAACUUCCUGUACCUCUCUGUGUCUCAGUUUUUUUCACCUAUAAAAUUAAAUAAUGUACCUUUUUUACAAAUAUUGAAUGAAAAAUAAAUAGGUAUGUGAAAUUUUAUUUUCUGUGUUUUUGCACUGACGGUUGGAAACUGUCAAAGCCUUUAUUACAUUAUUUUUGAAUAAAAGUAAUCUGCUUCCUACUUGUCUUGCCCUGUUUUACUCAGCUGCUUGCUCCUCUGGAUUUAUCAUCUUGAACCUUUACUUUUACCUUUGCUACUCCCUUCUUUAAAACACUAGCAGAUUUUCUUGACUUGCAGGAUGAAAGCUUACAUAGGGAGGGUUCAUGGUUUGGCUCCAAAGUGGCCGGCCCUAUUACCCAUCACUGACUCUCACGUUAGCCAGUUAUCUCCUUGAUGCAUCAUUGUAUAUUUUCUAGUCUGCACGCUCAUCCAAUUCAUCCAAUGCCAGUGUGCACUCAUUUGUGGCCACUCAGCCAUUCUAUCAUCUCAAACACAGAAGCCACUUUGCACUUCUCAUUGAUCUCAUGGACCUCUCAGAUUCCAUAUUUUUUAUUAUCUGCCUUCAUGAACUUAGUCUUGACUUAGACCAUUGUUUUCCAUUGCCCCUUCCCCCCACAUUGAGCAUAGAGACUUUCUAUCACUAAGCUGUAUCCCCAUUUAUUUUUAUUUUAUUCUGAGACAAGGCUAAGUUGUCCAAGCUGGCUAGAAAUUCUGAUACUUCUGCCUCAACCUGCUAAGUAGAUAGGAUUGGCAGUGUGCACUGCCAUGCUCAGCUCUCUUUUGUGGUGUGUGUGUGUGUGUGUGUGUGUGUGUGUGUGUGUGUGUGUUUCAUUGAUGUGCUUAGGAAAUCUUCCAAGUUGGACUAGUCCCACUGGUCAGUGAGUUUUUCAUCCUCAGCACUGUUGACAUUUUGAACUAGGUAAUUAUUUGUUAAGGAGGCUCUUGUUGGUGUUGUAGGUUGUUCAACAGCAUGCUGGCCUCUAUCCAUUGAUGCUUGUAUUAACCACUUUUCUACAGGCUUCACCAGCAAAAUGGCCUAUAGACAUUGCCAAAUACCCUAAGGGAAAAAUUUGUCCACCUUAUCUUCCUUUGUUCUAACUGUCCUUAUUUGUCCUUGUAUGUACAUUCUUUAUUUUAAAAAUCACAGUUAGGUUAUUGUUUCUAUAAAUCUAUAUUUCCUAAUUUUAAGAGGUACUGAAUUUUGGCUGGCAGACCUUUAAUAUUUUGCUGGUCAACUCUUUUUUAUUUUUCAUAGGGUUAUUUCAGACUUUCAUUCUCUUCAAAUUUCUCAUCUCAUUACCUUCUUUAAUCAUUAGUACAUGACCUUGCCUUCAAAGAGAAAAGAAAAUAGAAGCUAUUAAUUUGUCCUCACUAAACUUGGUGAUACUGUGAUCUGAGUUUGAGUUAAUGGCUUUAGGAUUUAACACAUUUUAUAACCUUUAAAACCAAGUUAGUCUUUAAAACUCAUUUUCUUUAUAUUAUGGCUGUCAUAAUGGAAAUCAUGGUGUACUGAGUAUUGUGCCUUGCCUAGUGACAAAUGAUGAUGGAGCAUGAGGAACCCUAGAGCUGGCGAAAGGGAUGCUAUUUUGCAUAAAGUGCAUAGAAAGCUUCAUAUUAGGAUAAUGUUUGAGGAACUGAGGGAAGUAAGGGACGACCCACAUAGUUUUUUGGGACAAAGGCUUUUAAGAAAUGUGACUAUAAAUUAAGAAUAGUAACUGUAGAAUAGUGUGCAGUCAAGAAGAAUGGGGAAGUUUGUUGAUUUUUUUAAGAUAGAAGAAACUUGUGCCAGGGAUUUAGUUCAGUGGCAUAAGUGCCUGCCUUGCAAGUACCCAGUCGUGAGCUCGAUCCACGGUACCAAAAAAAAAAAAAAGAUGGAAGAAACACGAAAAAGUCUUCCUUCUCUAAUGACAUCUUAUGAAUAUAAGGAAGACUUUAGUAACAAGGUAUUCUAUGCUAUUGCUGGAUUAAUCAUUAAAAAUGUAAAUGUAAUUACUGUCUGCAUAAUGUAUUUAAAGACCUUUAUUUGCCAUUAGCCAAAAAUUCAAAUAUUUUAAGUAAGUUUUUGGGUUAUUAUUUAGAAAAGUUACACUAAAAGUUUCAUAUUAAAAAAUUUUCUAGGAUGGGGACAUAGUUUAGGGUAGAGUACUCGGUUUACAUGCAUGAGGUUAAUCUGUACCACUGCAAAAAUAAAAACCACAACCAAAACAAAACGAAAAAGUUAAAAGAAAUUUCAAUGUAGAAAGCAAUGUGAUCUUAAGAGAUAAGAGCACCUCAAGAAAUAAGUUUUGAAAAUAGUGAUUCUUAGCCACAUUCAUGAGGGAAGCAAAUCAGGUGUCUUGUGUGUGAACAGUGGCUUUGGAGACUCACGUCCAGCCCUGACUCUGCUGGACCAGCACUAUGAAGUCAUGUUCUUAGACAUACUGGUCAUAAUACCUUAGCAUGUUCUUUCUUAGCCUCAGUUUCCUCACCUGAAAAAAAAAGUAAAGAUACGAUUCUUAAAAUUAUUUUAAAAUUAUUAUUGGGAUUGAGAUAAUUUAUUUUAUAUGGCUGAAUUCAUUUUAUCACAGGCUGAAUAGAUCUCACAUGCCAAGUACUGGCACCUCAUUGAUGUACUGUCCUCAAGUUUAACAAGAUUGUACUCAGGAUUCUCUAAAGAGAAAAUAUUAAAAAUUUUAAACCGUAUACAGAAGGAGCAAGUCUAAAAUGAAUCAUAGUAUAAAAAUAAUGAAGAACUAGAUCUUUUUGGUUUUGUAGGGAAUUUAGUAAGCAUAAAAUAGACAUCACAGCUGGAAUCUUACUUGUAAAUAGGAACUAACGUGCAAGGAAAUGUCAAAAAAGUGUGUGUGAAACUUUAUUAUUAUUAUAAUCUUCCUUUACUAGAAUAAAAAAAAUAUUUUCACAAUCUGUAGCAACUUUCAUUUGACAGUAUCUCGAAACAUUUUUGACACCUGGAAGAGGAUAGGUUGGGAAAGUGAGAGGUGGUGCUGCUGAAAUCUAGCGAGUAGACAGGUUGAAGUGCUGCUCAAUUUUUUUAAGUGCAGAAAAUAGUCCCCACACCACGAAGAAUUAUCUAUGCUGGAAUCUAGAAGAUAUCUUCUAGUAAUGGAGGAGAUUGUGGAGGAAUACGUUAUGUGCAUAUAUUACUUUGCCAUCCAGUAAUCUUAUUGUUCUUUACUACUAGUAUGCAUCCCCCCAACAAAAGAGAAAAGUAGUUAUCUGUCCCAAAAUGUCAGUAGUACCAAAUAUGUCUUUUGUUAAAAAAUGCUUCUGAAUGAACUUUCAAAGCCACAGAAGAAAGACUUUCUGUUCAUAACUGUGAGUACUGUUCCGAUCUUUAAAAGCAGGAAAACCAAAUAAAA